UACGGAGGGGGCAAGCGUUGUUCGGAAUUACUGGGCGUAAAGGGCGCGUAGGCGGCUUGGUCAGUCCGGGGUGAAAUCCCUCGGCUCAACUGAGGAACUGCACGGGAAACUGCCUGGCUUGAGUUCGGUAGGGGAGUGGGGAAUUCCUGGUGUAGCGGUGAAAUGCGCAGAUAUCAGGAGGAACACCGGUGGCGAAGGCGCCACUCUGGGCCGAAACUGACGCUGAGGAGCGAAAGCGUGGGUAGCAAACAGG
rnacentral:rRNA from 1 species